rnacentral:rRNA from 1 species
UACAGAGGGGGCAAGCGUUGUUCGGAAUUACUGGGCGUAAAGGGCGCGUAGGCGGCCUUCUAAGUCAGACGUGAAAUCCCUCGGCUCAACCGGGGAACCGCGUCUGAGACUGGAAGGCUUGAAUCCGGGAGAGGGAUGUGGAAUUCCAGGUGUAGCGGUGAAAUGCGUAGAUAUCUGGAGGAACACCGGUGGCGAAGGCGGCAUCCUGGACCGGUAUUGACGCUGAGGCGCGAAAGCCAGGGGAGCAAACGGG